UACGUAGGGGGCUAGCGUUGUCCGGAUUUAUUGGGCGUAAAGCGCGUGUAGGCGGCCAGAUAGGUCUGCUGUGAAAACUCGAGGCUUAACCUCGAGAUGUCAUCGGAAACCAUUUGGCUAGAGUCCGGAAGAGGAAAGUGGAAUUCCUGGUGUAGCGGUGAAAUGCGCAGAUAUCAGGAAGAACACCAAUGGCGAAAGCAGCUUUCUGGGACGGUACUGACGCUGAGACGCGAAAGCGUGGGGAGCGAACAGG
rnacentral:rRNA from 1 species